rnacentral:rRNA from 5 species
CCCAUGCCGAACACGGAAGUUAAGCUCUUCAGCGCCGAUGGUAGUCGGGGGUUUCCCCCUGUGAGAGUAGGACGCCGCCAAGC